rnacentral:rRNA from 1 species
AUUGAACGCUGGCGGCAGGCCUAACACAUGCAAGUCGAACGAAUGGCGGACGGGUGAGUAAUGUCUGGGAACCUGCCUGGUGGAUGGGGAUAACUACUGGAAACGGUAGCUAAUACCGCAUACCAUCAGAUGUGCCCAGAUGGGAUUAGCUAGGUGGUGGGGUAACGGCUAACCAAGGCGACGAUCCCUAGCUGGUCUGAGAGGAGGACCAGCCACACUGGAACUGAGACACGGCCCAGACUCCUACGGGAGGCAGCAGUGGGGAAUAUUGGACAAUGGGCGCAAGCCUGAUGCAGCCAUGCCGCGUGUAUGAAGAAGGCCUUCGGGUUGUAAAGUACUUUUAGCGGGGAGGCGUUACCCGCAGAAUAAGCACCGGCUAACUACGUGCCAGCAGCCGCGGUAAUAC